AGAGUUUGAUCCUGGCUCAGGACGAACGCUGGCGGCGUGCCUAACACAUGCAAGUCGAGCGGAGAACAUCAGAUGUUUACAUCGAAGUGUUCUUAGCGGCGGACGGGUGAGUAACACGUGGGUAACCUGCCUCGAAGUGGGGGAUAGCCUUUCGAAAGGAAGAUUAAUACCGCAUAAGCUUGUAGCAUCGCAUGGUGCAGCAAGAAAAGGAGCAAUCCGCUUCGAGAUGGACCCGCGGCGCAUUAGCUAGUUGGUGAGGUAACGGCUCACCAAGGCCACGAUGCGUAGCCGACCUGAGAGGGUGAUCGGCCACAUUGGAACUGAGACACGGUCCAGACUCCUACGGGGGGCAGCAGUGGGGAAUAUUGCACAAUGGGCGGAAGCCUGAUGCAGCAACGCCGCGUGAGUGAUGAAGGCCCUCGGGUCGUAAAGCUCUUUGAUCAGGGAUGAUAAUGACAGUACCUGAAAAACAAGCCACGGCUAACUACGUGCCAGCAGCCGCGGUAAUACGUAGGUGGCGAGCGUUGUCCGGAAUUACUGGGCGUAAAGGAUGCGUAGGUGGAUAUUUAAGUGGGAUGUGAAAUCCCCGGGCUCAACCCGGGAACUGCAUUCCAAACUGGAUGUCUAGAGUGCAGGAGAGGAAAGCGGAAUUCCUAGUGUAGCGGUGAAAUGCGUAGAUAUUAGGAGGAACACCAGUGGCGAAGGCGGCUUUCUGGACUGUAACUGACACUGAGGCAUGAAAGCGUGGGUAGCAAACAGGAUUAGAUACCCUGGUAGUCCACGCCGUAAACGAUGGGUACUAGGUGUAGGAGGUAUCGACCCCUUCUGUGCCGUCGUUAACACAAUAAGUACCCCGCCUGGGGAGUACGGUCGCAAGACUAAAACUCAAAGGAAUUGACGGGGGCCCGCACAAGCAGCGGA
rnacentral:rRNA from 1 species